rnacentral:rRNA from 1 species
UAGUCCACGCAGUAAACGAUGUCUAUUAGAAGUUUGUGGCUAUAUGCCGUGGGUUUCAAAGCUAACGCAUUAAAUAGACCGCCUGGGGAGUACGGCCGCAAGGUUAAAACUCAAAUGAAUUGACGGGGGCCCGCACAAGCGGAGGAACAUGUGGUUUAAUUCGAUGAUACGCGAGGAACCUUACCUGGACUUAAAUGUAGAUUGCAUGAAUCAGAGAUGGUUCUUUCUUCGGACUAUUUACAAGGUGCUGCAUGGUUGUCGUCAGCUCGUGCCGUGAGGUGUCGGGUUAAGUCCCAUAACGAGCGCAACCCCUAUCCUUAGCUGCCAGCACGUAAUGGUGGGGACUCUAGGGAGACUGCCGGCGCAAGCCGUGAGGAAGGUGGGGACGACGUCAAAUCAUCAUGGCCUUUAUGCCUAGGGCUACACACGUGCUACAAUGGUGACUACAACGGGUUGCGAAAUUGUGAAAUGGAGCUAAUCUCAAAAAAGUCAUCCCAGUUCGGAUUGAAGU